rnacentral:rRNA from 1 species
CCUACGGGAGGCAGCAGUAGGGAAUUUUCCGCAAUGGGCGAAAGCCUGACGGAGCAAUACCGCGUGAGGGAUGACGGCCUGUGGGUUGUAAACCUCUUUUCUCAAGGAAGAAGUUCUGACGGUACUUGAGGAAUAAGCAUCGGCUAACUCUGUGCCAGCAGCCGCGGUAAUACAGAGGAUGCAAGCGUUAUCCGGAAUCACUGGGCAUAAAGCGUCUGUAGGUUGUUUAGUAAGUCUGCUGUUAAAGACUGGGGCUUAACCCCAGAAAAGCAGUGGAAACUGCUAGACUCGAGUGUGGUAGAGGUAGAGGGAAUUCCUAGUGUAGCGGUGAAAUGCGUAGAUAUUAGGAAGAACACCAAUGGCGAAGGCACUCUACUGGGCCAUAACUGACACUGAGAGACGACAGCUAGGGGAGCAAACGGGAUUAGAUACCCCGGUAGUCCUAGCCGUAAACGAUGGAUACUAGAUGUUGCACGUAUUAACCCGUGCAGUAUCGUAGCUAAGGCGUUAAGUAUCCGCCUGGGAAGUCGCUCGCAAGNGNGAACACAAGAAGUAGAGCGNGAGAGUGCGAGACGACGACGAGGGAGAG